GCAGGUCUUCCGGCAUUAUGGCCUUCCGGAGGACAUCGUCUCCGAUGUGGCCCCCAAUUCACAUCACUGGUAUGGAGUGACUCAAUGGAGAAGCUCGGGGUCAUGAUCAGCCUCAUUUCUGGGUACAGGUCUCACUCUAAUGGGCAGGUGGAUAGGAUGAACCAGCUGCUGGGGAGGUUCCUGAGGAGCCACUGCCAGGACCGGCAGGGGGAGUGGGCCUGAUUCCUUCCCUGGGUGGAGUAUGCCCAGAAAUCAUUAUGUCACUCCUCCACCGGGCUGACUCCUGUCUUGUGUGUUCUGGAUUACCAGCCGGCCCUGGCUCCGUGUACCGAAGCUCCUGUGGUGGACGAGUAGUUCAGGCGCGCAGAAGAAGUUUGGAAAGGUGCCCCAUGAGGCUCCAGCGCGUCGUCCACUGUCAGAAGAAGCAGGCGGAUCGCCACAGCAGUGAGGCUCCCAUGUUCCAUCCUGGUGAUUGCAUCUGGCUCUCUUCACCAGGAACCUCCCACUACGCCUGCCCUGUAAGAAGCUGAGCCCCCAGUUUGUGGAGCCAUUCAAAUUUCUCCGGAGGGUCAACGAGAGAGAAGAGGAGAGUUGGGAGGGGCUCUGGAAUAUGCUGACACAGCCUAAUGAAAGAACACACCAGGAGAUACAGUCAUAAGUUUCCACUCGUGUCUGGGAGGGUGUGCGUAUUGUGUGUUCUGAGGUGGUCGGGUUCAGUAUCAGGACAAGGAGCUGAAUUGGCAUGCCAGUUUUGAAAGGUCACAUGACCAUCAAGUCACAUUCCUAUUGGCUCCCUGGUAAUAGAAUCUCUGCUUUCUCAAGUUUUCCAGGGAGUUUUCCAAACAUGAACCGCAAAUCAGACUCAAACCUGAAUCCCCGCAUGCUCUAUCCCCAUGCCAAACGCAUUUUCCAGAAGAAAUUAGAAAUGGACAGAACUGCACUAUCGCUUUCUUCCUCUCUUAAAAAUAGAAAUGGAUACCAUGAGUUCCCACUGAUGUCUGUCUGCCUGUCUCUCUCUGAUGUGGGAGUAUGUAUGUAGCUCAUUCUCACCGUUUUUUGGAUUACCUGCUGAGAUCAGAGAACUGAAGGGUUACAAAGUCCUUCAAGUGCCAGCCCCACGGACACACGCACACACGCACACACGACUCCCACUUCGGAGCCUGUGCACUAUGGGAGGUCCGUAUUAUAUCACAAUCACCCACACACAUAAACAACCGGUGUUUGAACUGUGUGUGUGUGUGUGUGUGUGUGUGUGUGUGUGUGUGUGUGUAUCAGAGUGAUGAUAAUAAGGAAGCCCCACUGUGUGCACACUCUGGUGUAGGAGUCAAAUGAGAUCAGCCCAGAGGGAUGAAUGAGCAACCGUAGAAGAAAGUCUGUGUGCAUGAGUGUAUGUGUGCAUGAGUGUGUCGCCGUGUGUAUGUGUGUUGUGUAGCUUUGUCUCUCCCCAUGUGCACUCAGAACCUCUUGACUGAAGAAUUAGCUUGUUGGUUGCUCAAUGCAGGUUCACAUACUUGAGAAUGUGAUCUUACAUGGCCUCAUAAAAAGAAAAGAAAAAGCUCCAACAAGUGGAACCCAAGUUCCUUGUCCUUCAGUAGUAUAACCCACCCCGAUCCUCUGCAAGCUACUUCAGCAUAACAAGGACAACUUCUUACAGUAGGUCCCCUCCGAUCGAUGCUAUCGGCUGCUUAGGAGUUAAUCAAUGAGCUCCCUCUCUCUCUCGCUCUCCCUGGGGGAGUCAUUGAUCUGUGAAUGUGAUGAGGAGCAGACAGAGCAGAGUGGUUCUCUACAGGGAUAAAGAGGAUAUAUCUACUCCUUGUGGGAUCCUUAAUGAUCUAAGGAGAUAGAGAGACAGACUCAUGGAGAAUAGCAGGUUUGUUAAUCAGGGUGGUCUUACCCCACUGGAGAAAACUUACGCACGCACACAGAAGAAGAUGGCGCUGACAGAUAUGGCAGCUCUGCUUCUAGCUCCUAAGCAACUUAGCAUUAUUUUUAUUUGUUGUGUGUUAUUUCUUACAUUAUUAGGCCAGGAAUUUUUUUGUGUUAUUACGGUACUUACAGAAGGAAAUAACUUUUGGAUAUCAGAUUAACU
rnacentral:lncRNA from 1 species